rnacentral:rRNA from 1 species
UACGUAGGGUGCAAGCGUUGUCCGGAUUCAUUGGGCGUAAAGAGCUCGUAGGCGGCUUAGUAAGUCAGGUGUGAAACCUCCAGGCUCAACCUGGAGACGCCACUUGAUACUGCUAUGGCUUGAGUUCGGUAGGGGAGACUGGAAUUCCUGGUGUAGCGGUGAAAUGCGCAGAUAUCAGGAGGAACACCGAUGGCGAAGGCAGGUCUCUGGGCCGAUACUGACGCUGAGGAGCGAAAGCGUGGGGAGCGAACAGG